GAGUACCAGGAGGGGUACCAGGAGGAGUACCAGGAGGAGUACCAGGAGGAGUGCCGGGAGGAGUACCAGGAGGGUUACCGUACUCUGCUGCUGCAAAAGCUGCCAAAUACGGUUUGUAGACAUUUCUUUUAUUGAGCUUGUCAUUCUUCUUUGGGUCAGUCUGUAUUCUUAGCAGUAAUUGUUUAAUGUAGUCAACAGUUUGGUUUGCAUAUUAAAAUUGCAGGAGUACCAGGAGGAUUACCAGGAGGAGUACCAGGUGGGGUACCAGGAGGAGUACCAGGUGGGGUACCAGGAGGAGUACCAGGUGGGGUACCAGGAGGAGUACCGGGAGGAGUUCCAGGAGGAGUACCGUACUCUGCUGCUGCAAAAGCUGCUAAAUAUGGUAUGUAGACAUUUCUUGAGCUUGCCAGUCUUCUUUGGGUCAGUCUGGAUUCUUAGCAGUAGACGUGUAAUGUAGUUAACAGUUUGGUUUGCACAUUUAAAUUGCAGGAGUACCAGGAGGAGUAGGAGGAGUACCAGGAGGAGUGCCUGGAGGAGUACCAGGAGGAGUACCGUACUCUGCUGCUGCAAAAGCUGCCAAAUAUGGAGUUGCAGGAGGUGCAGGAACAGGGUUAGGACCAGGAGGAGUAGGAGGAGCAGGAGGACUAGCAGGAUUUGGGCCACACUCUGCUGCUGCUAAAGCUGCCAAAUAUGGUAAAAUGCACAUUUUACACAACAACUAUUCCACAACCUGAGACAUCUGAUUAUACAUAAACAUGCUGUGUUAAGGUGCCUUUUUUUUCACUUUAUCCAAAUAUACUUAUCAUGAUUCAUUACAAUUUAUGGAGGCAACCUGCACUGUUUCCCUUAAUUAGGAGUUGCAGGUGGUGCAGGAGCAGGGUUAGGAGUUGGAGGUCUAGGAGGUGUAGGAGGAGUACCAGGAGGUGGACAAUACUCUGCUGCCGCAAAAGCUGCUAAAUAUGGAACAGCAGUUGGAGGAGUUCCUGGUGGUGUACCUGGAGGUGUUGGAGUUGGAGGAUAUCCAGGCGGUGUAAAACCACCAAAAUAUGGAGGUGGACUCCUUGUGCCAGGAGGGACUCCAGACACAACCGGCAGUGGUGCUCCAAAUGACUCUGUGCCAGUAAAGGAUGUGGGUCUAUCUGGAACUCCUCAGCCAGGGCCCACACCUUUAGCCCCAGUUGCCCAGCCCCCAGACGUCCCACAGCCCAGAGUUGCUGGUGGAAUUAUCCAACCUAGUGCUGGGACAGGUGUUGGUGGAGUUGCAGCACCCUCUGGUGGUGUUGGAACAGGUCAAGGUCAACCUGUCGCUACUGGAGUCCAACAGCCUGGAGGUAGGCCAGUCCAUAUUUUUAUUGAGCUUUAUAAUUCAGUUAAGGGUGCAACCUUACAUCGGCCUGGCCUCAGGGUGGAGACAAAGCCAAAUACAGCAGCUGUGGUGCAGUGCCCCUGCUGCAGUGUUUGUAAUAAAAUGUCCUGCUGUUUUCAGGUGUUGGCACAGGUGCUAAAGCACCCAAACCAUUCUUACCAGGUAAGGAAAUGCUACACCUCCCUACUGUAA
rnacentral:lncRNA from 1 species